GUGUGAGAAGAAAGGAAGGAGGAGGUCCCGAGUAGCAGCUGCCAAAAUGUACCUAUGUGAAAGCCUGGCAGCAGGUGCUUUGAAGCAGAAGCUGGCGCCCUUGGUAUGGACUGUGUGCAUCCGAGGCCUGAGGCAAAGGAAUCGGCUUCCAGUUGUGCAGUGUUAUCACCUAGGCUCCCCUUCUAGAUCACUAGCAUCCGCAGGUGCUUCUGGGAAAGAUGGCAGCAGACUAGUGUACUUCUUAAUUAUAGGAGCAACAGUCACUGGAGCAGGAGUUUAUUAUGCCUACAAGUUUAUAAAAAGUGACCAAAAAAGAUAUAAUGAAAGAAUUUCAGGAUUAAGGCUGACACCUGAAGAGAAACAGAAGAGGGCCACAUUAUCUGCUCCGGAAGGAGAGCCAGUUGUUCAAGUCAGGGUACCAAAACUGUGGUUUUCAGAUGAUCCAAAUGUCACAAAGACACUGCGAUUCAGGCAGUGGAAUGUAAAAGAGAGAAACAUAUAUUUCCAGCCACCUUCUUUCUAUGUCUCUGCUCAGGACCUGCCUCACAUUGAGAAUGGUGGUGUGGCUGUCCUCACUGGGAAGAAGGUAGUACAUGUAGAUGUGAGAGGCAACAUGGUGAAACUUAAUGAUGGCUCUCAAAUAACCUAUGAAAAGUGCUUGAUUGCAACAGGAGACACUCCCAGAACUCUGUCUGCCAUUGAUAGGGCUGGAGCAGAGGUGAAGAGUAGAAAAACACUUUUCAGAAAGAUUGGAGACUUUAGAACCUUAGAGAAGAUUUACCGGGAAGUCAAGUCGAUUACGAUUAUCGGUGGGGGCUUCCUUGGUAGUGAACUGGCCUGUGCUCUUGGCAGAAAAGCUCAAGCCUCAGGCACCGAAGUGAUUCAACCCUUCCCUGCGAACGGAAAUAUGGGAAAGGUCCUCCCUGAAUACCUCAGCAAUUGGACCAUGGAAAAAGUCAGACGAGAGGGGGUGAAGGUGCUGCCCAAUGCCAUUGUGCAAUCAGUUGGAGUCAGUGGUGGCAGGUUACUCAUCAAGCUGAAAGAUGGCCGGAAGGUAGAAACUGACCACAUAGUUGCAGCUGUGGGCAUAGAGCCCAAUGUUGAGUUGGCUAAGACUGGUGGACUAGAAAUAGACUCAGAUUUUGGUGGCUUCCUGGUAAAUGCAGAGCUCCAAGCACACUUUAACAUCUGGGUGGCAGGAGAUGCUGCAUGCUUCUAUGAUAUAAAAUUGGGUAGGAGGCGGGUAGAGCACCAUGAUCAUGCUGUUGUGAGCGGAAGAUUGGCUGGAGAAAAUAUGACUGGAGCUGCUAAGCCAUACUGGCAUCAGUCAAUGUUCUGGAGCAAUUUGGGCCCUGAUGUUGGCUAUGAAGCUACUGGUCUUGUGGAUAAUAGUUUGCCCACGGUUGAUGUCUUUGCAAAACCGUCUGCACAAGAUAACCCGAAAUCUGCCACAGAGCAGUCAGGGACUGGUAUUCGAUCAGAGAGUGAGACAGAGUCAGAAGCCACAGAAAUCCCUGUUCUUCCAAGUAACCCUCGGGUCCUCCAGGUCCCUGUUGAAGGGGAGGGCUAUGGGAAAGGUGUUAUCUUCUACCUCAGGGACAAAGUGGUGGUGGGGAUUGUGCUGUGGAACAUCUUCAACUGAAUGCCGAUAGCAAGGAAGAUCAUUAAGGAUGGUGAGCAACAUGAAGAUCUAAAUGAAGUAGCUAAAAUAUUCAACAUUCAUGAAGACUGAAGCCCCCCAGUGGGAUAAGCAAGCUCUUUGCUCUCCCUGACAGCAGUUUGAAUGACUAAAGAAGCAUUUUUUUAUUCCUCUGAGUGUAUGAAUGUGAAUGAAUGAUCAUGUCCCUUGUGAAUAUUUCAGCGAUGUAGGCAUAUUUUUAAUGUUCACAUCACUAAAUAAAACCUGAUUCUUCUA